UACGAAGGGGGCGAGCGUUGUUCGGAUUUACUGGGCGUAAAGGGCGCGCAGGCGGUCAUUUUUGUCGAGUGUGAAAGCCCCGGGCUUAACCUGGGAACUGCGCUCGAAACGGGAUGACUAGAGAUCGGGAGAGGAGAGUGGAAUUCCCAGUGUAGAGGUGAAAUUCGUAGAUAUUGGGAAGAACUCCGGUGGCGAAGGCGAGGCGCUGGACCCUUUCU
rnacentral:rRNA from 1 species